AGGCACAGAUGACACAGCUUGCCCUGUUUGGACCGGCUCCUUAUUCCGGAGGCAGCACCCUGAGAUCACUUGCCAAAUUAAAGUAGUCUCCUCCGCCCCAGAACAUGCCUCAUAUAAACAUAUGCUCUGGUGGAUAUGUAGGAGGGGCUUGUAUUUUUAAUGAGGAGCUGGUGUUUGAGAGACUUAGUUUGGCUUCAGAAAUGCUCCUUAGAACGCUCCCCUGUAGGGGGGGGGGAAUAUGCAACAGUCACUCCUCAUCUGUAAAUCAAGCAGGGCAAUGAAAACCAUGUUUUUUUUAAUAGCUAGUCCUUUACUCUAGCAGUCAGCUCCUUAAUGAAAGGAGGGAAUAAUUAAUGUCCCUGCAACACAGGAAAGUUGCUUUUGAUUGCAGUGGAUUUAACAGAAAUGACGGGCAGAGGGGAACCUUCUCAAGUUUACUGUAAACAUUCACAUUAGGGCUACGCUGUAGAGCUUGGUUAGGUGCAAUUGGAUUUAUCGCAGAGUUUAAUUUAAAAACAACCACAUUAUGUUUCUUAGCCGAGAGAAAGUACACUAGCUUAGAACAGUUUAAAAAUACUUUUCCCUGUUACUUGGUCAGUAGCAAAGCAAUAGUCGAUUUCAUUUGAGUUCAUGUCAGUUACUUUACACUUAAAGGUGUAUUGCGCUGGCACUCUGGCCUACAGCACUGCAGGAGUUGUUGGUGCUACAACAAGUACAGGUCCUUUUAAUUUGUUUCUAUGCAAAACUAGGCAAAAGGUUACUCAGUGGAGCUGCUAACUGAGCUCUUGUAGUGGUUCAUUCGAGUGUAAUUCCUGCUUUUGGAAUGAAAUUGGAUGACCCUUGCUACCAAGACAACAGCUGCUUCCUUCUAUGCAAAUAUCAUUCUCUAUGAAAUAGGCUGACUCCUCAGAGGGAGGAGGUUCUGGGGAAGCCUGCUUGCGUGGAGAACACGUGGAGCGCUGAAGCAUGUAGAACGAAAGCAGGGCUCUGGGCCAGCACAAGGCCUUGUGUGUAGCUGGUGUUGAAACAAAUGGUGAUACUCCUCAGCAGCCGUACUGUGCUCUGCUCUGAGACUGGCUUACUGUGGCUGCUUUGUUAGCUUGGUGCUGCCAAUGGGAGGGUUGUUCCAUCUCCGGGUCAGAAACGGAGUCUGGCUUCUAUGAAUUAAGCCUAUGAGCUGACACCAGGAUUUGAGGGUGGCCAAGUCGUGCCUUCGUUUCUGUGAAUUACAGACUUGCUUAGGACUGUGUAGUGGCAAAAGCGAAGUCUGUUCUGCUUUGGCUCUUCUAUUAAAAAAAUGCCCUCACACAGGCAUACAGGGUUCUCUGAACACAAAUUUGUAUUUCUCAGGAUUCAGUGUGGGAUGUUGCCUUUGAAAGGCAGGUAGAUUUUGACUUCUUUUGGUAGGCUAAUACGGCUUUCCAGUGCUUACUCUUGCAAGUAGUAAAGCGUAGUUAGGUCCUAUGUGUAAUUACCCCUUUCUUCUGCUGGAUUUCAAGCCAUUAGAUGCAUUCCUCUGCAAAAGCAGACGCUGAUUUUGGUCAUUGGCUGACUAACUCAUUUUCAGGAAGCUGCUGCAGUUAAGAACUUGGAAUUCAGAAAUACUGAGUACAGUGUUUUAUAACCAGCUCCUUCUCAAGCAAAAACAAAUGCCUACAUACCUGGAAUAGCUUUGCGCUGGAGCUUAUCAUGAUUUGCUGGGUCUUGUCCCAGUAAACAAAUGCUCUGCAUCUCACACUUGUUUCUGCUUUCCUUUGUGAUCUGCCACAAGACUGGCCAGCUAGCUCGUGAAAGGUUAAACAUCGAGGGGAUCAUCUUUAAAGUGUAAGGUGGCAUCAUGAGGUGGAGAGCAUUAAUCUUGCUUCUGGAUGCAAAACUGCUGAGACGUGCACCGAAAUAAGGCAAAGGGCAAGAGAAGGGCUUGUUAUCUCUACUUCAUGCAGACCUGGAGCACAAGGAAGUGGUGACUCGUCGAGGUUAUCAGUGACUCCUGACAGUGGAAUGUCUGGGGCUCCUGCUUCCUUUGCUGGAUCAACACACCCAUAUUCUAGUCCUGUUAGCUCCCUUGCACAGCAUCUGGGCUUCCAGUAUGCAUUUUGCAACACUUCUCUUACAUGAUGCUCUUCCGUGGAAGGAAAGCUCCAUGGAACGCUUUGUAUAACUCAGAUUCCAGUGCCUGGAG